CUCUAGUUAGCCUAGUGGUUAAGGUUCUGAAUCGCCAAUCCGGAGACGGCGGGUUCGAUUCCCGUUCCAGUGG
rnacentral:tRNA from 1 species